rnacentral:tRNA from 1 species
AUCUGGUUGGCUCAGUCGGUAGAGCAUGUGACUCUUGAUCUCAGGGUUGUGAGUUUGAGCCCCAUGUUGGGUG